UACAGAGGCCCCAAGCGUUACUGAAAAUCACUGGGUUUAAAGGGUGCGUAGGUGGCGCGUUAAGUCCGUUGUCAAAUCCCUUGGCUCAACCAAGGAAUGGCUUCGGAUACUGGCGUGCUUGAGGCCGGUAAGGGUCACUGGAACUGACGGUGGAGCGGUGAAAUGCGUAGAUAUCGUCAGGAACGCCAAUGGUGAAGACAGGUGACUGGGCCGGUUCUGACACUGAGGCGCGAAAGCUAGGGGAGCAAACGGG
rnacentral:rRNA from 1 species